UACUUUAUGGAACCAAAGCUAGUUCUUUUAUGGAAUGCUGUACGUCACAAAUUACGUCAUCAUGCGACUUAGAAAGCAGAAAGAAUCUGAAAGAAAGAAAGAGCAGAAUGUUUUCAACUCCAUAUUUUCUGUAUAAUUUGCUGGUUAUAAGCAGAUCUAUGCACGGCACUCCAUUAUACCACACUGAUAGCUUCUCAAAGAUUAUAAAUAUGAUACAUGUAAGCAGGCACAGUUACUUGUCAUCACAAGGAUCAGAUUUCAAGUACCAGAGUAGUCCUAACUCCUAAAUUUUCCCAAUUUGUCAAAAGUACAUCUAGUGACACAAGAGAAGAAUGUGGAGUAAAUGCAAAUAAAGGCUCGACUGCAGGGGUAUACCUGACUUCUCGGCAAUUUCUGGUUAUCACCAUUCGAAUGACCGAUUCAGAGGAGAAGACCAACUUCAAGGUGACUCUUAUGCAUUGAGAUCUUUCGCUGAUGGACUCAAAUUGUUCAGGAAAAAAUCCAGCUACCACAGCCACAGAUUUCUGGCGUGUGUUCAGAAGGAACAUAGAAUGAUGCAA